rnacentral:rRNA from 1 species
GAUGAACGCUGGCGGCGUGCCUAAUACAUGCAAUUCGAGCGAACAGACGAGGAGCUUGCUCCUCUGACUUUAGCGGCGGACGGGUGAUUAACACGUGGAUAACCUACCUAUAAGACUGGGAUAACUUCGGGAAACCGGAGCUAAUACCGGAUAAUAUAUUGAACCGCAUGGUUCAAUAUUGAAAGCCGGUUUUGCUGUCACUUAUAGAUGGAUCCGCGCCGCAUUAGCUAGUUGGUAAGGUAACGGCUUACCAAGGCAACGAUGCGUAGCCGACCUGAGAGGGUGAUCGGCCACACUGGAACUGAGACACGGUCCAGACUCCUACGGGAGGCAGCAGUAGGGAAUCUUCCGCAAUGGGCGAAAGCUUGACGGAGCAACGCCGCGUGAGUGAUGAAGGUCUUCGGAUCGUAAAACUCUGUUAUUAGGGAAGAACAAAUGUGUAAGUAACUAUGCACGUCUUGACGGUACCUAAUCAGAAAGCCACGGCUAACUACGUG